UGAACGCUAGCUACAGGCUUAACACAUGCAAGUCGAGGGGCAGCAGGGAUUUAGCUUGCUAAAUUCGCUGGCGACCGGCGCACGGGUGCGUAACGCGUAUCCAACUUUCCCGUUAUCAGGGAUAGCCUUCCGAAAGGGAGAUUAAUACCUGAUGGUGUUUGAAAUCCGCAUGUUCUUCAAACUAAAGAUUUAUCGGUAACGGAUAGGGAUGCGUGACAUUAGAUAGUAGGCGGGGUAACGGCCCACCUAGUCUACGAUGUCUAGGGGUUCUGAGAGGAAGGUCCCCCACACUGGAACUGAGACACGGUCCAGACUCCUACGGGAGGCAGCAGUGAGGAAUAUUGGUCAAUGGUCGGAAGACUGAACCAGCCAAGUAGCGUGAAGGAUGAAGGUUCUAUGGAUUGUAAACUUCUUUUAUACGGGGAAUAAAGCCCACUACGUGUAGUGGUUUGGUAUGUACCGUAUGAAUAACGCAUCGGCUAACUCCGUG
rnacentral:rRNA from 1 species